UAUUGGACAAUGGGGGGAACCCUGAUCCAGCGACGCCGCGUGAGUGAAGAAGUAUCUCGGUAUGUAAAGCUCUCUCAGCAGGGCAGCAAGAAAUGACGGUACCUGACUAAGAAGCCCCGGCUCACUACGUCCCAGCAGCCGCGGUAAUACGUAGGGGGCAAGCGUUAUCCGGAUGUACUGGGUGUAAAGGGAGCGUAGACGGCGAUGCAAGUCUGAAGUGAAAGGCGGGGGCCCAACCCCCGGACUGCUUUGGAAACUGUAUGGCUGGAGUGCAGGAGAGGUAAGUGGAAUUCCUAGUGUAGCGGUGAAAUGCGUAGAUAUUAGGAGGAACACCAGUGGCGAAGGCGGCUUACUGGACUGUAACUGACGUUGAGGCUCGAAAGCGUGGGGAGCA
rnacentral:rRNA from 1 species